UACAGAGGGGGCAAGCGUUGUUCGGAAUUACUGGACGUAAAGGGCGCGUAGGCGGCCUUCUAAGUCGAACGUGAAAUCCCCGGGCUCAACCCGGGAACUGCGUCCGAUACUGGAAGGCUUGAAUCCGGGAGAGGGAUGCGGAAUUCCAGGUGUAGCGGUGAAAUGCGUAGAUAUCUGGAGGAACACCGGUGGCGAAGGCGGCAUCCUGGACCGGCAUUGACGCUGAGGCGCGAAAGCCAGGGGAGCAAACGUG
rnacentral:rRNA from 1 species